UACGGGGGGAGCAAGCGUUGUUCGGAUUUACUGGGCGUAAAGGGCGCGUAGGCGGCGCAACAAGUCACUUGUGAAAUCUCCGGGCUUAACCCGGAGCGGCCAAGUGAUACUGUCGUGCUAGAGUGCGGAAGGGGCUACUGGAAUUCUCGGUGUAGCGGUGAAAUGCGUAGAGAUGCGGAGGAACACCGAUGGCGAAGGCAGCCCCCUGGGCCAACACUGACGCUCAGGCACGAAAGCGUGGGGAGCAAACAGG
rnacentral:rRNA from 1 species